GUCGACGAUGAUCCNGCUUGCUGGGGGAUUAGUGGCGAACGGGUGAGUAACACGUGAGUAACCUGCCCUUGACUCUGGGAUAAGCCUGGGAAACUGGGUCUAAUACCGGAUACGACCAUUCCACGCAUGUGGUGGUGGUGGAAAGCUUUUGUGGUUUUGGAUGGACUCGCGGCCUAUCAGCUUGUUGGUGGGGUAAUGGCCUACCAAGGCGACGACGGGUAGCCGGCCUGAGAGGGUGACCGGCCACACUGGGACUGAGACACGGCCCAGACUCCUACGGGAGGCAGCAGUGGGGAAUAUUGCACAAUGGGCGCAAGCCUGAUGCAGCGACGCCGCGUGAGGGAUGACGGCCUUCGGGUUGUAAACCUCUUUCAGUAGGGAAGAAGCGAAAGUGACGGUACCUGCAGAAGAAGCGCCGGCUAACUACGUGCCAGCAGCCGCGGUAAUACGUAGGGCGCAAGCGUUAUCCGGAAUUAUUGGGCGUAAAGAGCUCGUAGGCGGUUUGUCGCGUCUGCUGUGAAAGACCGGGGCUCAACUCCGGUUCUGCAGUGGGUACGGGCAGACUAGAGUGCAGUAGGGGAGACUGGAAUUCCUGGUGUAGCGGUGAAAUGCGCAGAUAUCAGGAGGAACACCGAUGGCGAAGGCAGGUCUCUGGGCUGUAACUGACGCUGAGGAGCGAAAGCAUGGGGAGCGAACAGGAUUAGAUACCCUGGUAGUCCAUGCCGUAAACGUUGGGCACUAGGUGUGGGGGACAUUCCACGUUUUCCGCGCCGUAGCUAACGCAUUAAGUGCCCCGCCUGGGGAGUACGGCCGCAAGGCUAAAACUCAAAGGAAUUGACGGGGGCCCGCACAAGCGGCGGAGCAUGCGGAUUAAUUCGAUGCAACGCGAAGAACCUUACCAAGGCUUGACAUGAACCGGUAAUACCUGGAAACAGGUGCCCCGCUUGCGGUCGGUUUACAGGUGGUGCAUGGUUGUCGUCAGCUCGUGUCGUGAGAUGUUGGGUUAAGUCCCGCAACGAGCGCAACCCUUCGUUCUAUG
rnacentral:rRNA from 1 species